UGCCAGCCGCCGCGGUAAUACGGAGGGGGUUAGCGUUGUUCGGAAUUACUGGGCGUAAAGCGUACGUAGGCGGAUCAGAAAGUUAGAGGUGAAAGCCCGGAGCUCAACUCCGGAACUGCCUUUGAUACUGGCGGCCUAGAGUCCGGGAGAGGUGAGCGGAAUUCCGAGUGUAGAGGUGAAAUUCGUAGAUAUUCGGAGGAACACCAGUGGCGAAGGCGGCUUUCUGGACCGAUACUGACGCUGAGACGCGAAAGCGUGGGGAGCAAACAGGAUUAGAUA
rnacentral:rRNA from 1 species